rnacentral:rRNA from 1 species
GACGAACGCUGGCGGCGUGCCUAACACAUGCAAGUCGAACGGAAAGGCCCUGCUUUUGUGGGGUGCUCGAGUGGCGAACGGGUGAGUAACACGUGAGUAACCUGCCCUUGACUUUGGGAUAACAUCAGGAAACUGGGGCUAAUACCGGAUAGGAGCUCCUGCUGCAUGGUGGGGGUUGGAAAGUUUCGGCGGUUGGGGAUGGACUCGCGGCUUAUGGGCUUGCUGGUGGGGUAGUGGCUUACCAAGGCUUUGACGGGUAGCCGGCCUGAGAGCGUGACCGGGGACAAUGGGACUGAGAGAGGGAGCAGACGGGUACGGGAGGCAGCAGUGGGGAGUAUUACACAGUGGGCGGGAGUGUGAGACGACGGCGUCGGGUUCGUGAAGACCGCUUUUGGGGUGUGAACCGCUGUCGCCUGUGACGAAGCGGGAGUGACGGUACUGGGUAAAGAAGCACCGGCUAACUACGUG